UCUUAUGUACAUUCCUACAUCAUAACAUCAAUGCACCAAAUCCCAUUAGAAAUCCGUAGUUAAGCACGCUCGGGCUAGAGUAGUACUGGGAUGGGUGAUCGCUCAAGAAGUCCUAGUGUUUUGCAUGCC
rnacentral:rRNA from 1 species